UAUAAAGUUCCAUGAGUUCAUGACAUGACUUCUAAUUAUAUCUACGUAGAAACUGGUUUGUGUGGUGUGAAAAUAUAUUAAUUUAGCCACAUAUAAAUCUCCACUUAGUAACACAUACAAAAUACAAGUCUGAAUUCUCAAACAGCUGUUGCAGCUCUCUCCAGUUGGUUAAAGGCAAAUAUAGUCAGAUGAAUCCAAAUGAAAUAAGUAAUGGACGGAUUGUUAUGUAAUUUUGAAGCAAACAAAUAACAACCUAGCAAUGCCUUUAUAAGCAGCUUAGAGUCAAUCAGUUGUAUACUGCGGCAUCAUCAAAUCGCAUUGUUUAGAGCCAGAAGUAUCAGGACAGGUUAUGAUGACCUUAAUGCUUCAACUCUGCGGACCCCAACGAGGAGUUGUGUAGCUCUAUCAAAUGACCGUGUACCAUUUCAACACCCCAGAGGAAGUAAAAGUAUUUUUUCAUAUAUUUCAGCUUCCACUGCCUUUCAUCAUCUUUCCUUCAAGGCUUUUUCAGAGACAUUAUCUGCAGUGCUUUUAUUUGAGGCCUUUUGCAUACCUGUAGCACUGAUGUACGCCAGAAGAAGUAAUGUUUAUAUUUUGUUAGUUGUUUUACAGGCAGAUAAGCUUGUGUUAACUAUCACCGUCAGAUGACUUUCAACUCAUAAAAGGAAGUAAGAUAAGCAGCUAUCAUGCCAUCUGUGUGCUCGGUCAAAGUCUGAAGUUUAGGCAUGCAACAUUUUGUAGUCUGACAUUUGCUUUUCACUAGACUAUGCAAACAUAAAAUAUCAAUGAAUCAAUAUUUAAAAAAAGGUAAAAACAGGGCUACCUGAGGAGCAGUAUCUGAUACAGAAAAGGUUUUUUUUUUUUUUUUUAAACUACUAGUUAAGACAAUUGGGCAUAUUCUUAGUGCCUAUUUAUAUAGAACAAUAUGACAAGAAUAAACACAACACACAACAGCCUUGUAAUCCUUGGAACCUUUUGCCUUCAUCCUCCUGACUUGGUCAUGCAAGAAAAACAGAAAUUUGAGCCAACUGUGGAGGGCUGCCAGAGCUGGCUAGAGUUUCAUUUGAUAUUUGGUUGGCUGAGCUUCUAAGCCAAUAAAAAUGAUCAGUCUGGUAAUCAGUAAACCCACAUUUCCUGUUCCUGCAUAUCUCAAUUUAAGCAACUUAUAAGACAGCUGACAGCAAGUUCGGUUAUGAGAGAAUAUAAGUCAAAUUUCUGCUGAACUAAAACAUCUGCAGUGGUUUUAAGAGUGGGUGUCAGCCUUUUAAAUGCCUAUUUGAUUACAUGUAGAGCGCAGCAGUAAGCCAAUUUUAUUUCGCUCACUGUGUGCACACAGCGGGUAGCACGCACGUUGCAGUUUUGGCAGCAGCCAGUGCCCUUUCACCUACCAUUCCUCUCUCCCUGCAGCCGAGAGCCACGCACAGCUCCUGAGAGCAAGAUCAAACCUGACCUGCUCCUCCUUCCCCCAUCCUCUUUUCCACCCUGAGCCUCACACACAGUAGACAGUACCAACAAGUCUUUGUUGUCAAAGCAAAGAACAGACAGCAAACAAGUGAAACAAAGGAGGUCGGCUGCACAACACACACAGUCAGUUGUGUUUACCAAUUGAAAGAUGAGGCAACCUUAGACUGAAUGAAAUGUGUCACAGAGAGACUCUAUAUCUAUGUCAGUGUAUUUUUGUUUAUUUGCUGUUACCUCAUCACCCUUUCUAUUGAGAUUACUGAGUCUAGUGUUUACAAGAGAACCCUUUCAUUUUGAUUGUACUCAAGAUUGCACAUUGUGGCAUCCUGAUCCCCUUGUGGUAGUACACAACACAAUGUUAACCACAGUAUCCGUUUAGCGUGACAUUUCACACUAUACAAUCGCCUAUUAAUAUUUCUCUCCCUCUCAAUGCAUAAAGAUAAUGCAUCUUACUCAUCACUAAUACCCUAAGUUAAGAUUUAUGUCAAAAUAGUGUGCAAACAGUAACCUACUUAAACACCCAGCAGUUACAGGGCAACGUUAGCAUUUGGAGUCACCAUUCUGGGCACCUUUAAAGAAAGUCCAAUGUUCACUCCCUUUAUCAACUAGUGAGGGAAAUAUCUGUGACUGUAGCUUCAAAAUGCUUCACUGUGUUCACUUGCUUUUCUGUCAUUUGUCUGUUGUUUGGUGAUUAGCAGAUAGUGUACAGUGGGUGUUUAGAGCCUUUUUGCUCAAAACAGCUGCCUGCUGUGGUCAAAUGCAACACUAUGAGAGCUGUGAGUCUGAACAAAAACUGGUAAAGUCCACCCUGACAGAAAAACAAUCAGCUAAAACUCACUAUAAAGCUCUGUAAAAGCCAAGAGGAGCUGCAGAAUUGAAUAUAGUGACGUUAAUAAGUUAACUUCAGGCUGUCAGUGAACCACCGAAUGUUGCAAUGAUGCAAUACAAGGCUGUUAUUAAAGAGUCAACGGAAGCAAGAAAAAGGAAAAAGGCCAGGAACAGAAGAAAGGGAAUCAGAUGAUGUGCAAGAGGAGGGAUGAAAGAAAAUUGUUAACUGCUACCAUGACAUCAUGGAGACUGGGCUGAGUAAAUGCAGACAGUCACCACACCAUCAUUGCCCAGAGGGAACAGUUCCAGUACACUGUGGAUAAGACAGAGAGCAAACACUCAGGGGUUUUACUCCUACUGUCGACCGUUACCAGCCAAGACUACAAAGACUACACUGGAGGUGGAGGAAAGACACUUGGCUACAGAGAGGAGAUGCUUUACUACACCGUGUUGGUUUUAAAAUGUGUACCAAGGUGGAUGCUUCGUCCUCUACUACAAGGAAAAUCCACUGCUACAAAUAAAGUAACCUGAACCUGAAAUAAUGUGUUGCUGGAGGAGAGGCCAUUUCUGGGGGUUCACUCAUGGAUGGAUCUGGUCAUGAAACAGUGUUUGCUCUUUGCUUAUUGGUGUUUGGAUUUCCCCUAUAUGCAUGAAUUGCCAUUUCAGCUAGUCUGACUGUGUUGAUUAUGACUUCGAGCUGAAACAUGUUUGUUUUUUGGCCACAAAGAAAAGCAAGAUUGUUUCUCUGUGACUGCCGGUGCUGUGUUGUGCUUUUGAUUUGGCACAUCAGCUUCUUACUACUUCCACACUGCAGGCUGCAUUUUAAUUAUAGCUGGAAGUUUUAAUAUACCCACACACUGCUAUCCCUGCAGAUCCACACUUAACUUUAAAGCCAACUCAUUAGCAUUUAUAAGCACUACAACACUACUGAAUAUAAGCAAAAUUUCAACUGCAACAGAUUGAUCGUCAAUGAAAAUAAUCCUUAGUUGCAGUCUGAAUUUCGUGUUUUACUGUAUUGUCAUCAGCCUCCACUCAUGG